rnacentral:sRNA from 1 species
GAGCCGAGGGGGCGGGCUGAGGGGCGGCCCCCGGGAGAGAGCGGCCAGGUGGAGGAGGAGCGCGAGGCGACCGCAGCAUCUGCCUGCCCUUCUGCCAUCUGAGCGCCCUGACUGCGCCACACUGCAGGCCAUGGAGAAUGAGCUGCCAGUCCCACAUACAUCUAGCAGUGCCUGUGCCACCAGCAGUACCAGCGGGGCCAGUAGCAGCAGUGGCUGCAACAACAGCAGCAGUGGUGGAAGUGGCCGCCCCACCGGGCCCCAGAUUUCCGUGUACAGUGGUAUUCCAGACCGGCAGACCGUGCAGGUGAUCCAGCAGGCCCUGCACAGACAGCCCAGCACGGCCGCUCAGUACCUGCAGCAGAUGUACGCCGCCCAGCAGCAGCACCUCAUGCUGCAGACAGCGGCGCUGCAGCAGCAGCACCUCAG